AGAGUUUGAUCCUGGCUCAGAACGAACGCUGGCGGCGCGCCUAAUACAUGCAAGUCGAACGAGAAUGUGUAGCAAUACACAUGUACAGUGGCGAACGGGUGAGGACUACAUGGGUAACCUACCCUCGAGUGGGGAAUAACUAGCCGAAAGGUUAGCUAAUACCGCGUACGCUUCCCGGACUGCGGUUCGGGAAGGAAAGCGAUACCGUGGGUAUCGCGCUCUUGGAUGGGCUCAUGCCCUAUCAGCUUGUUGGUGAGGUAACGGCUCACCAAGGCUUCGACGGGUAGCUGAUCUGAGAGGAUGAUCAGCCACACUGGCACUGCGACACGGGCCAGACUCCUACGGGAGGCAGCAGUAAGGAAUAUUGCGCAAUGGGCGAAAGCCUGACGCAGCGACGCCGCGUGGGGGAUGAAGGUCUUCGGAUUGUAAACCCCUUUCGGGAGGGAAGAUGGGAUGGGGUAACCCAUUCGGACGGUACCUCCAGAAGCAGCCACGGCUAACUUCGUGCCAGCAGCCGCGGUAAU
rnacentral:rRNA from 1 species